rnacentral:tRNA from 1 species
GGUCCCGUGGUGUAACAGUUUAUCACUCUGGACUCUGAACCAGCAAUCCGAGUUCAAAUCUCGGCGGGACCU